UACGAAGGGGGCUAGCGUUGCUCGGAAUCACUGGGCGUAAAGCGCACGUAGGCGGCUUGUUAAGUCAGGGGUGAAAUCCUGGAGCUCAACUCCAGAACUGCCUUUGAUACUGGCGAGCUUGAGUUCGGGAGAGGUGAGUGGAACUGCGAGUGUAGAGGUGAAAAUUCGUAGAUAUUCGCAAGAACACCAGUGGCGAAGGCGGCUCACUGGCCCGAUACUGACGCUGAUGCGCGAAAGCCAGGGAGC
rnacentral:rRNA from 1 species